UACGUAGGGUGCGAGCGUUGUCCGGCAUUAUUGGGCGUAAAGAGCUCGUAGGCGGCCUGUCGCGUCGGAUGUGAAAGCCCGGGGCUUAACCCCGGGUCUGCAUUCGAUACGGGCAGGCUAGAGUUCGGUAGGGGAGAUCGGAAUUCCUGGUGUAGCGGUGAAAUGCGCAGAUAUCAGGAGGAACACCGGUGGCGAAGGCGGAUCUCUGGGCCGAUACUGACGCUGAGGAGCGAAAGCGUGGGGAGCGAACAGG
rnacentral:rRNA from 1 species